AAGGACUUAAACAUAAGACGGGAGUGCCGCCAGGAUAUGAGUGAAUGCAACAGGAACCGCAGGGGAGUCCAAAGAGCUGCGCCUCCCGGUGGCUCAGCCUCAUUUCAGACCUGUGACAUCU